rnacentral:tRNA from 1 species
GCCUGGGUAGCUCAGUUAGUAGAGCAUUCCCCUGAAGAGGGAAGGGUCAUCAGUGCAAGUCUGAUCCCAGGCACAA